CCAUAGUGAGAAAGGAUUCAUUUCGCAACACCUACGGCUUCCACUAGAUGUCAACGAUCUUUAUAAAGUUGUUUGAAGCGUCUAUGAUAAACAGAGAGCAAAUUAGAAUCCAAGGAAGUUGACAUGUCAUCACUUCAUUUUUUUUGCGCCUGCGCAUAAAUCUGAGAAACGUGAGUUUUGUCUUCAUUGUUUAUCUAGACAUAAGGAUAGGUUGUGUGAAAAUAUUACUGAUGUUUAACGUUAAAAAUGGACCAAAAGAUUAAUGCUAAACAACAUUUGACAUGUUUGAACGAACAUAAAUAGAUUAUUUACUAGGUUUUUUUAGCUUUUCGGCGUGAUUUUACAGUCCCCCCACCACGUUUUGUGGGAGCAUAAUGAACGCUAAGUACUUGGUGUUAUUUGGACAUAAAUUAUGAACUUUGUCAAAAGAAACCACAUUUGUUCCGGACCUGGGAUGCCUUCCGGACCUGGGAUGCCUGCCUUCUGAUGGAGAUAAUCAAAGUCCGGCUGGCUUAGAUCAUGUGCUAACAAGACGGAGAUUUUUGGACAUAAAUGAUGAGCUUUUUUGAAC
rnacentral:lncRNA from 1 species